GUGGUUAGAGGUUUUGUUUAGAUGCUUUUACUUUUGUCUGUUUUGGGUUUUUAGACAAAAUAUUACUUGGUUUUUGGAAGCUCAUCUUUUUUUUGUAUUUUGAAACAAUUCAGUAUUUCAGUAUUUCAAUCAUCUGCACUUGUGAUUGGUUGUGACCUUUCAGUUAUGAUCAUAUUAUUGUAAACAUUGUUUCAUUGAUCUGGGUUUUAAAUAAAUGAUGUAUUUUUUGCUACGAGCCUCCUGGAGACAGCUACAGAGCCAUCACCAGCACACUGAAGGCUCUUCUGAAAGACAAAAGUCUGACUUUCCAGAAGAGCAGUUGGUAUGGUGAUGAUCUCCGUCCUGCUGCCUGGGACUACGUAUUCAGCCUGGACCUUCUCUGUGCAAAACUGGGCUGGAUUUGGACCUUCUCCCAUGUUAUACGGGCGACUUGGCCAACAUGGCCUUAAGGAGAACGUGGCAGCAUCAGUGGAGGAUCUGGUGAAAAGCAUAACUGAGUUCAGGGGACAAAAAGAUUUGCCGUGGACGCUUUAGAAUCGUGGAAGAAAGACCUCACAAAUCCCAUUCCUCCAGCCGUCUCCAAGUGCCUGAAGCAGAUCAGCUUUUUCUGUUCUCACCUAAAGUCAAGAAAAAUUAUUACAAUAAAUAAUGUUUAAUAGAUUUUUAUGUUUUUAUUUUUGUAAUAAAACACA